GGCUGCGGACUGUUCCACUACCUGCCAUCUUGUCAGCCUUUCUCUGCAGUGUCCUGGCUUCCUAGGCAUGCACAGAACUGACGUCAGAGCACUCUCUAGUCUGAGAGCCAGUCAGACCUCAUGCAUGGGCUAUGGAUUUCCACCUCUCCACAUCCCAGAAUCCAGAGUUGUAGGUCAUGUCAGAAAACUUCUCUCCUUAACUCGUGCUUUCAUAUCUUUCCUCUCUGAACCCCUGGCUUGUGUGGCAAGGUAAUCCUCUGCUUGUGGAAGGGAGGAGCGGAGUCUGGGGAGGGGCGAGCACCUUCAGAAUACAUGUACUGGGUGAUGCUCUCCAAGUCUGGCUGCUUAAGCUUCUGUGAGGCUGCACCCCUCGGAAAUGGUCAGAUGAUGAGUUUCUCUCCAGUGCCUGCUGCCUCAGCCUCCCUGCACCUUGGCCGUAACCACUGCAGUGAACCUGUGAACCACGUUCAACCCUGAAUCUCACACUUGCAGUCUCUGCUCUCUCUUCCUGCAUUCUCUUCCAAAGCACUUAUGACCCAUAAUUAUGUACAGUGUAUGUACAGUAUACACAAAGAGAGGCUGAAAGAUGUGGUGAGUAUUUAAGCAAUAAUAUGUUGCAGUAAAAGACACAUUGCCAAUGAUGAGGUAUGUUCGAAGUGAAGUAUGCCGAGGGGGUGGUUAAUGGCAAUGUCUUUUACUGUAAUAAUUUUUUUCAUUUAAAAAUUCACAGUAUUUUUAUGAUCACACCUCAUUGAUCAACUGUUUACAGCAAUUCCGGUCACAAAAAAACAUCACCCUGUGUCCUCAUCCAUCUUAUUCACAGGCUCUGGCACCAUGUGACUUCCGGGUCUUCCCCAAGUCAAAACGACCACGAAAAGGAAACGUUUUAGAUCCAUUCAGGACAUGGAGGCAGCUGGGGAAGCGCAGCUCAAGACACUCACAAAACAGGACUUCCAGAAUGGCUUCAGAAAAUGCCCUGAGAAUUCUUCCUUUGGAGGAAACAUUGGCCCGCAGAGUCUGAGCUCCAGUGUGCAUGGCAUCGGGGAGAAGAUGCUCCAGGGACAGACAGAAAUGAAAACUAUACUCCUGUCCUACAGGUCUUCCACUCUGGUGUAAAGAGAGACAAAAAACAAGCGCAAAUAACACUCAUCCCUCUGUACCCUGGGUGCCGCAUCUGGGGGUUCAACCAACCACAGAUGGAAAUAUUAGGGAAAAUAAAUCACAUCUGUGCCCAGCAUUUACAGACUGUUUCUUGUCUUUAUCACCUAAAUAAACAAUAUAAAACUUCUUGAAUAGCAUGUAUAUUCUAUUAGGCAUUAUAAAUAAUCUAUCAUAAAGUAUACGGGAUCGUGUGCAUAGGUUAUAUGCAGAUGCUGUGGCAUUUUCAUAAGAGGCUUGAGCAGCCACGGG
ensembl:lncRNA